rnacentral:lncRNA from 1 species
UAUCAAUUUUUGCCAAAUUUCAUUUUAAUUUUUUUGAUUUUUUAAUUUUACUCUUCACCCGAGCUCAUUUGAGCUGGAGCUAAGAUACUCCGCGUCCACUUAGUUGUGGCAUGUGGCUUCCAACUAAACACCAAUACAUACUUCUUUUUGCAAAAAGAAAAAAAACAUAACACCAAUACAAGCUUCGGGAGGUUUGCUUGAAUACUGUUUCUUUUUGGUACCACUAGGUGUGUCUAUCUAGCUUCUCCACCAUUCACAGCCGUUAGAUUAGAAACGAACAGAAGAGAUGCACCCGUUACUCUAACACGAGUACUGUAUUGAUUCUACGUGACGAGCAGAUAAAAAAGUCGGGAGUGGAUAUCUGCAAAAAUGAAGGAAUCGAGCUCUGAUCCCGUGGCACACAAUCCGAACCUGUUUAAGUGAACCAAACAAGGCCUCAGAUUCACAAACAUUACACUGUUUCGACUGAAAUCAAACACAUCUUCUGAUUAUUCACUUAAAUUAGUUUUUUGCUUGUUUGUGAAACUAAACUUGUGAAAUGUGACUCCAAAGUCCAAACAUGGAAGUUGUGAAAUUUAUUUCAAUUCUUUCGAUCAAUUCUAUUAUUUUUCAAAUCAGUUGCAUAAACAUUAAGUUGUGUCAAAUAUAAAUUGAACAGAAGUUUCAGUUAUUUCACUCAAUUCCAACAAAAUUGAACACAUAUUUGGAUUAUGUCACCCAAUUCCAGAAAAGUUGAACACAUACUUCGAUUAUUUCACCCAAAUUCUUAUAAUAUACACAUGCAUUUUAGAUGUAAUUAUUUCACAUACAUUAGACUCAUAUUCCAAUUAUUUCAGAAAAAAUGAAAACAAGUUUCAACUAUUUCACUCAAUUUUAGAAAAAACUAACAAAUAUUUCGACCAUUCCACUCAAUUUUGGAUCAAAAUGCAAUAUGAGAGUGAUUUGACAUAAAGUUGUUGUACAGGAUGGGAUAUGAGAAAUACAUGGAAUACUUUCAGCCUUUCAGGUGUGGCUUUGCAUAGAUGGAUCUUGAUGAGUUUGGAGGGUGGAUCCUUCACCAGUGUAGUUGGAGAAGGCAAGAUGACGUCCCAACAGAUUCUAAGCCCGUUCGACAUGGAGCCUUCUGAUGUAUCAAGGCUGUUUUUUUUUU